rnacentral:rRNA from 1 species
AGACGAACCGUCCAAACGUUAUUCGGAAUUACAGGGCUUAAAGGGUGCGUAGGCGGCGCGGUAAGUUGGGUGUGAAAUCCCUCGGCUUAACCGAGGAAUUGCGCCCAAUACUGCCGUGCUCGAGGGAGGCAGAGGGAAGCGGAACUCAUGGUGGAGCGGUGAAAUGCGUUGAUAUCAUGAGGAACACCAGUGGCGAAAGCGGCUUCCUGGGCCUCUUCUGACGCUGAGGCACGAAAGCUAGGGGAGCGAACGGGAUUAGAAACCCCAGUAGUCC